GGGGGCGUUUUUGGAUUCGACGGGGAUAGUUCGAGCAUGGGUUGCGGGUAGCGGGGACGCGUCCGCUUCAUCAACGCUAAGGCCAAUUAAAUGGCAACCAACGUACUUCCUACGCUGUAGCAGCCUAAAAAACUGCUCGCGUGCUCUUACCCUCCAUCGCCCAUGUGGCGGGAUAAGGGCUCAACCUUAGUGGGCUACGCCGUCUGGUCUCCGCCUGGGGCUAGCGGAAGAAGACAAUCAGGCUGACCCUUGCGAAAGCCGGUUACGGGGCGGUCGCUCGGGUGACAACAAUACCGUGACUACACCCGUAGAAGCCUGUGUGGCGUUAUCUUCGGACAGGGGUUCGAAUCCCCUCGCCUCCACCA
rfam:Thermobacillus composti KWC4, complete genome.